CCAAAGGCUCUUUUAAGAGCCACCCACUUGAUCACUUAAAGAGCUGU
rfam:Alligator mississippiensis ScZkoYb_5, whole genome shotgun sequence.